rnacentral:lncRNA from 1 species
ACCCCCACCCCCUUUCAACCCCACCCACCCGAAUCGAGGGAAUAAAAGACCAGCUCCUUUAUCCUUUGAUUUCCUCAUUCAGAUCUAUCAAAUGAAGCGGCAAUUCGACGGCGGAGAAACCGAUUGUGCUAAUUUUGCCGGCGGCGGUGAGUUGAAGAAGAAGAUGAAGCAAGUUAUAGAGUCGGAGGAAGAGAAAAAGUUGCCGAUGAAGCGGCAAUUCGACGCCGGAGAAACUACCUGCACAACCUCUGCCGGAGACGGUGACAUGAAGAAGAUGAAGAUGAAGAUGAAAACGAAGACGGAGGAGAUUAUAGAGUCGGACGCAGAAGCGGAGGCGGUGUUGUUGGAUGAGAAUCUGCUGUACGAAGUGCUGAAACACGUGGACGGGCGCACGUUAGCUACG